AACACAAUACACCACGUCAGAUUUCUUUUCAUCUCUCUAAAACUCACCCUCUCUUUCUCUUCCAAAGCUAAUGCAUCUUCUCAUCUCUCUCUCUCACCAUCCAUUUUCACCACCAAACCUCCAACACCCAGACGACCGCCCUUUAUCUCCUCUUAUCUGACCAAAUCUGAUCGGAAGUGCGACCACCACAUCAUAAAAAAAAGACCCAACAAACCAUCACAACGCCUCCGUCCCCUUAUUCCUCCCUUUUUUCUGCCGGCAAACACCAUCAUUCGGUGAACUCCAUCACUGCUCCGCCAGAUCUGGGCAGAACGAGCCAAGCUUCGGCAAAGUCAUCGCGUCAGAUCUGACACAGACGACAAGUUGGUCGGAUGUUUGAACUCUUGAACUUCUAUAUAAUUUUCCAUUUGACUUAUGAAUUUGUUACCUAUUUUACUUGAUUUGUUCUAAUAUUUCUUGAUGUGAGGCUUCUCGUGGAUUUUCAAAUAUUAUCUUGUUAGUAUUUGUAUCAUCAUCACUUGCUAUUAAUGUUAGUUUGAUUAUUUUUGGUUAUUAUUGUUGAUAUUGUAAUUUGCUAACAGAUUUCUUUACUGUCAUGUUUGGACAGAUUUUUACAUUAUUUUAGUUGAUCUUGUGUUAUGUUUUAUUUUAUUUGAGGAUCUCACUCCUAUGAGUUAGUCAAAGUUUAUUAAAGGGUGGUUUCACUCUUAAUUUUUAUUAAUACUUUGAUAUUUUACUCAUUGUUCUAGCUAUGUUUUUAUUGUUGUUUUUUCUGUUUUCAUACUAUAUUGAUGAUAAUUAUUUUCAGCUCAUAUUUGGACUACUUGGGUUUUGAACAUUUUUAUUCAUUUUGCUUUGUUUUUCUUUAGUAUAGUAUUUUAUCUAAAUUUCAUGUUAGCAACUUAUCCCUUUUAAUUAUAUUAUUAUUUUAUACUCUCUCCGUUUCAAAAUAAGUGAAUUGUUGAGGUAUUUAUUGGUGUUUCAAAAUAAGUGAAUCAUCGAAUUUUUUUUCAAAUUGCCCUUGUGAUUUGACAACCAAUUAACUUUUAAAAAGGUAUUACCAGGUCAACUUUUUCUUUUUUUGGGGUAAAAAUAGAAAAUUGUGUUAAAUUUAUGUCUUUAAUGCUUUUUCCUUAAUAUGUGUGCCAAAAUCAAACAAUUCAUUUAUUAUGAAAUGAAGGAAGCCUCGUUUUUAAUUGACAUUUGUGUUGUUGACAGCUUUGAUUUCUCUUUUUCUGUUUUCCCUCUUACAAACAUUCCUCUCACUAGACUCUCUCUAACGGCUCUCUCUCUCACUAGACUCUCUAUCUCGGUCCACGGCCUUCGGCGCCGUCGCCGACCGUCGGCGCCGACCCGACCUGACCUCCGGGCCCGACCUCUGGCCCCGACGCCGACCUACGACGCUGCCUUAACGGCUCUCUCUCUCUUUAACAGCUCUCUCUCUCUCUCCCUACCCUCUCUCCCUCUCUCUCGCACCGUUCCCCGGUCCCCGGUCCCCGGCGCCGUCACUGACCUUCGGCACCGACCCGACCCGACCGCCAGCCCCGACCUCCGGUCCCCGAUGCCGACCCCCGUCGCCGCUCCCUGCCAUCCUCCGGCGCCGACCGCUGGUUCCAAGCCGUUCCCCUCCCCCCCACUGUGCAUACCCCCUCCCCACCCGUACCGAUACCGUCUCAAGACCGGCAUCAUAAAACACAUUCUAAUCCAUAUCUCCAACUAAUAGAUUCUAUUAGUGUCAGUAUUUUCCCAUGAAAGUUGAAAGAUGGUUUGGUUUUGUUCAAUCAAUUAGUAAAAAUUUCUGCUUUACAUUGAUUUCAACUUUGGUGGAAAGAUAUGGCAUGGUAUACUUCUACGAUAUUCAUAAACAUUCUCAUCAGCUAGAUCAAAUUAAUAAUGCUUAAUUGGAAGUAUAAGUUUUACAUCAUCAUGAACAAAUUAAUAUGCUCAAUAUCUGAAGAAAUGUGCAAGAAAGCAAACUUGUCUGUAAGUAUGGAAAUGAGCUGGCACAUAUAUAUAGUAUUGUCCCUUGAGUACAUUGUCUCAUUGGUGAGCAAAUAGUGAGUUAUUCCUCCGCCAUUAUAGUUUAUUUCAGUGCCAGGGUGAACGGAACAUUUGAUGAAGUAGCAAAAUGAAUUGAGUAUGAUGAACUUACAGAAUCCAACCAUCCCAGUACAAGAAUCAGGAUGUACAAACAUUUCAAAAGACCAAAAAUCAACUAGUUUGCAUUUAAUAGGCCAUAAAAGUAAAUAUCCUCAAAAUGAUGGUAGAAAGUUCCAAAACAUGACUUAUUAUUUCCUGUUCAAAACAAAAAUACAAACAGAGGUCCUCCCUCGUUCAAAUGGGGAAUGUAACAUUAGUAUCUGUGUUCUAACUUCUCCUUCUCCUGGAAGUGCUGCACAUACCUGCAUGCAUCAAGAAACAUCAUGGCUAUGAACUGAGCAACAUCUUGACUUAGCAAAGAAUACAUAUAUUGUAAUGAAGUCAAAAGAAAAUCAUUCCGUUUCAGUGAUCCAAUAGCAAAGGGGAAAGGGGGAAGGUGAACUGACUCGACAAGCUCAAGCAACAGAAGAUGUAAACAAUUACCACAAUCGCUUGAUAAAAUUCACUCUGUCUGAGUGCAGCUCAAAUACUAUGAUCCGGAUUAAUCUCUUAUCAUUGAGACAAGUUACAACUUAAAAUAACUAAGAACUUUCACAUGCUUGGAGACAACGUUGAACAAAAUAAAGAAAGUCGACUAGUUAAUCACAUUUACCUUGACCAAAUAAGAAUAGCAAAAAUACUUUAAUUAAGAUUCAGUUAGAGGCAUAAUACCUCAUUAGAGCUGUAAACUUGGUGAUAUAUUCUUGAACAAUUUACUAGUAUGCACACUUGUCUGAUUUGUGAAAGUACACAACAAUUAUCUAACUAGUGUCAAACACGUUCUCAAAUGUUAAUAUCUUAUUAACCUUACAUUUUCAAUCUGUAAGUAGGGUCAAAAGACGCUGAUCUCAGCUUCAGCAAUUAAAUAUUUGUAGAAGCAAAUGUCUUCAAUAAGUAUAAAUUGGCAUUGUGCAAUUGUAGAUUCACAGUGUAUGAAGGUCUCAUGAAUGCCUGGAAAUAAUGCUCUUAUGCAUAUUCUAAUGGCUCUUCACAGUUUGUAUGUUAUAUUCCAACUAAAAUCUGAGCAACUAAGUUCCAUACUAAGCUACAGCCUUCAGUUGGACUGGCUAUACAUUUCUACUCAAGAGAACUAAUGUGCAACACUUCCUAUCCAACCCCACCCAAGAAAGGGGCGUAUGCCAAGUUGGUGGAGAGUAAGGACGAAGAGGAGAAACGGGUAAACAGGAAAGAGUACAAGCUAGCGAGGAAGGAGGCUAAGUCAGCAGUCACGGCAGCUAAGACGGCCGCCUUUGAGAGCCUGUAUGCAGGGUUACAGGGGAAGGGAGGGGAGAAAAAGUUGUUUAGACUCGCUAAGGCUAGGGAGAGGAAGGGUCGUGACCUCGAUCAGGUGAGGUGCAUUAAGGGGGAGGACGGUAGAGUGUUGGUGGAAGACGGCCACAUUAAGAAUAGAUGGCAGUCGUACUUUCAUAGGCUCUUGAAUGACGAAGGGGAUAGAGCUAUUGUGUUAGGGGAACUGGAGCACUCAGAGGAGUGUCGGGAUUUUAGCUAUUGUAGACGUUUUAAGGUAGAAGAGGUUAGACAGGCUGUUCGCAGAAUGCGAAGGGGUAGGGCGACGGGGCCGGAUGAGAUACCGGUCGAGUUUUGGAAGUUCGUUGGAGAGGCUGGUCUUAGGUGGUUGACGGGAUUGUUUAAUGAAAUCUUCAAGACGGCAAAGAUGCCCGAGGCUUGGAGGUGGAGCACCAUGAUACCUCUCUAUAAGAAUAAGGGGGACAUCCAGAGUUGCAACAACUAUAGGGGUAUUAAGUUAUUGAGUCACUCUAUGAAAAUCUGGGAGAGAGUGGUCGAGGUGAGGCUGAGACGGAUAGUGUCUAUUUCAGAAAACCAGUUUGGAUUUAUGCCUGGCCGCUCGACGACGGAGGCAAUUCACCUGGUACGGAGGUUGGUGGAACAGUAUAGGGAGAGGAAGAAGGACCUGCACAUGGUGUUUAUCGACCUGGAGAAGGCCUACGACAACGUCCCUAGGGAGGUGCUUUGGAGAUGCUUGGAGGUGAGGGGAGUACCGCUGGCAUAUAUCAGAGCAAUCAAGGAUAUGUAUGAUGGAGCGAAAACUAAGGUGAGGACGGCGGGAGGAGACUCAGAACAUUUCACGGUCCGGACAGGGUUGCAUCAGGGAUCUACUCUUAGUCCCUUUUUGUUUGCAGUGGUAAUGGAUGUGUUGACGCGGCGUAUUCAAGGGGAGGUGCCGUGGUGUAUGCUUUUUGCAGACGAUGUAGUUCUGAUAGCUGAGACCCGAGAGGGUGUGAGCGACAAAUUAGAGGUGUGGAGGCAAACCCUUGAGUAUAAAGGGUUCAGGGUGAGCAGAAGCAAGACAGAGUAUGUGGAAUGCAAGUUUAAUGACAUGAGGAGGGAGAACGAGGUAGUAGUGAAGCUGGAAUCACAGGAGGUAGGUAAGAGGGAGAGUUUCAAGUAUCUCGGGUCCGUGAUCCAGAGUAACGGUGAGAUUGAUGAGGAUGUCUCGCACCGUAUUGGGGCGGGAUGGAUGAAGUGGAAGCUCGCGUCGGGGGUGCUGUGUGAUAAGAAGGUGCCGCCUAAGCUUAAAGGCAAAUUCUACAGGGCGGUAGUCCGUCCGGCCAUGUUGUAUGGAGCGGAGUGUUGGCCAGUGAAGAACUCCCACAUCCAAAAGAUGAGGGUGGCAGAAAUGCGGAUGUUGCGCUGGAUGUGUGGGCUGACUAGAGGGGAUAGAGUUCGGAAUGAGAACAUCCGGGAGAAGGUUGGUGUGACACCAGUGGAGUGCAAGAUGCGGGAAGCCCGAUUGAGAUGGUUCGGACACGGGCAGAGGAGGGGCAUGAGUGUCCCGGGCCCGAUGGGGGUGUGAGAGGCUAGCGUUGGAUGGUUUUAAGCGGGGUAGGGGUAGGCCGAAGAAGUACUGGGGUGAGGUGAUUAGGCGAGACAUGGAGCAGUUACAGCUCACCGAGGACAUGACCCUAUAUAGGAAGGUCUGGAGGACGCGAAUCAGGGCAGAGGACUAGGGCCAGCCUGAGUCGCUAGUGUAAGGAACUACUUGGUGGGGGUUUAUGCAUGUUAGGAGCCCGUGUCCCAUGUUUUAUUAUGGAUCUGUGUGUUUUUCUUUGUUUUAGAUUACUUAUGGGUGCCGUAUUUAUGUUAUGUAAUCUUGUAACCUUGUGCUGUGCUUUACUAUGUGUUUGUGUGGUACCGCAUGUCUUGAGCCGGGGGUCUAUCGGAAACAGCCUUUCUACUUCUUCAGAGGUAGAGGUAUGGACUGCGUACAUCCUACCCCCCAGACCCCACCAGGUGGGAAUACACUGGGUUUGUUGUUGUUGUUGUUGUGUUGUUGACAGCUUUUUCAAAUUUUAGGUUGCUUUUUGUUACUUUGACUUUUAUGUUAUUUUUGUUUUGGACUAUCAUAGUUUCUUACAUUCUUGGAUAAUUGCGUUAUUACUCACUUUUGUUUGUGUAUUUUUUUCUUUUGUAACUGUCAAUUUGCUAUAUGUUUGUCGUGACUAUCUUGGAAGUUAUUUUAAUCAUUUUUUGCUCAUUUACUGUGGUAUUAAUUUUAUAUGAAUGGAUACAAUUUUAAUUGGCUAAUAAAAUUAUCUCUUCGUCUGGAUAUUUGAGUUUACCCCAUUACAAAAGAUGGAUUUUACUUUUUCAAGUUAUUUAUUUUAUAUCAAAGUUAGGCACUUAAUUGUUCUCUCUAUUUCUAUAUAUAUUUUUUUUAACUAAAUUGACUGGAAAUUAUCAUUCUCUGAUUAACUGUGUAUAUUUUAAUUUGUGUUAUAUUUCGGCUAGUAAGUAUAGAUCUGGUCGGAUUUUACUUAAUAGGAUUUUAAUGCAUUUUUAUGAACUGUUUGGUUGUUAUAGGAUUUAUUAUUAUCAUCAGAAAAUGAGAUUGAUUGUGCUUUCUAGUGAAGUAAAAAAUCAUUCUUUAAUCUUAAAUUAUUGUGUUGCUUUAAUUAUUAUGUUGCUUUAAUCAUUCAUUAUUAUUACUACUAUCCUUUACUAUUGUUUUUUACCAUUGCUACUUUGUGGAUGUUGCUAAUAUCUCCUACAAUUGCUUUAAUUAUCACGGUUAUUUUAUUGAUAACUAAUUUCAUGCAUUUUUAUGACUAUAAUGAAAAUAAAAUAAAUAUUUUGGCCGAUGAAGAAAUUCUCCAUCAAUUUUUUAGGCCUUCACAAAUAAAAAGAUGGAUAUUACGUAUACAAUUACGUAAUAAAAAUAAAUACUUUGGGCAAUGAUGAAAUUGCUAUACUUUUUGAAAACUUUACCUGAGCCCCUUUUUUAAUAAAAAAUAUAUUUUUUAAAUAUAUAUAUGUGCACGUUUUUUAUAAUUUAUUUGCUGCUAUAUUUUUAUUACAAGUGUUUGUACAGGUUCUCAGAAUCACUUGUCGGGAAUGAUAUCAAAGAAGAGUUUGAAUUUUUUUUUAUUCUUAUCAUUGUAUUAUUUAGUGAAAUCUUUAUUUUCGGGACGUUGGGCGGGGAUGUUCUUUACUUACACAAUCCUUACCAUGCGUUUAGGAAAACUUAGGCCAUCAAUAUUUAUAUUAAAAAUAAUAGUUAAAUUAAUUUAGAUAUUUAAUCAAAUAAAAAUUAAAAAUAUUUUAUUUCAUGAAUUCCUGUUCGUUUUUAGGUACUUUUGGUUACAUGUCUUUUCAUAUUUUUACAUUCAUAUUUUUAUAUUUUUAUGAUAAUAUAUGUAAUUUAUACACUCUUUAAAUGUAGAUUAUUUAUAUUAUUUUAAUACACUUUUUAUAUUUGUAUUUAUAACUAUUUAUUUUUUCUCUCUUUCUUUUAAUAAACUUAAGUCUGGUCAGGAACCACAUUUGUGGAGUCUGAAGAAUGCCUAAUACCUUCCCUUCAAAAUAAUUUGAAUCCUUACCUAGAAUCUAAAUUGGUUCAUAGAUUAAAAUACAAGGCAUAUUUGUUAAUAAAUAAAUAGGUUUUCUUAUUUUUCUUAAAAAUUAGGUGGCAACUCUGCACAUAAUUUAUUCUUUUAGAGUCCAUAAUGUCGUGCACGUUUUGACCUCAGCUAAAAACAGGGUAUGACAGUUUAGCGACUCUGCUGGGGAUGCAAGGUUCUGAUAUUAUAGGUUUAGGUAAAUAUUUAUAUUUUUCUGCAUUAUUAUUUAUUUCUUUUCUAAUUGUCUUGAUUUAUCUUGUUUGUGUGGUACAAAUUGUUAUUUGUUUUGUAUAGUUUAUUUAUUGGUUUAUUGCUUUAUAUAAACUGUCAUCCCGUUCAUAUUUCAUUCAUUUGGAAAAAGCUGGCACAAUCAUACAUACAAGUGAGGUAUGUUUUGCGCACCCACAAAUUCC
rnacentral:lncRNA from 1 species